GACGAACCGAGCGAACGUUAUUCGGAAUCACUGGGCUUAAAGGGCGCGUAGGCGGGUGGCCAAGUCCGGGGUGAAAGCCCCCAGCUCAACUGGGGAAGUGCCUCGGAUACUGGUCGUCUCGAGGGAGAUAGGGGCGUGCGGAACUUCCGGUGGAGCGGUGGAAUGCGUAGAGAUCGGGAAGAACAUCGGUGGCGAAGGCGGCCUGCUGGGCUGUUGCUGACGCUGAGGCGCGACAGCGUGGGGAGCAAACAGGAUU
rnacentral:rRNA from 1 species